AUUGAACGCUGGCGGCAGGCCUAACACAUGCAAGUCGAACGAGUGGCGGACGGGUGAGUAAUGUCUGGGAAACUGCCUGAUGGAGGGGGAUAACUACUGGAAACGGUAGCUAAUACCGCAUACCAUCAGAUGUGCCCAGAUGGGAUUAGCUUGUUGGUGGGGUACCGGCUAACCAAGGCGACGAUCCCUCGCUGGUCUGAGAGGAUGACCAGCCACACUGGAACUGAGAUACGGUCCGGACUCCUACGCGAGGCAGCAGGGGGGAAGAUUGUACAAUGGGCGAAAGCCUGAUGCAGCCAUGCCGCGUGUAUGAAGAAGGCCUGCGGGUGGGAAAGUACUUUCAGCGGGGAGGCGUUACCCGCAGAAGAAGCACCGGCUAACUCCGUGCCAGCAGCCGCGGUAAUUC
rnacentral:rRNA from 1 species